AACAAAAUCUGUGUAGUCUGUUCAAAGGAGAGGAAGGAAAUUUAGCCUAGUGAGGCUUUGGGGAUUUCGUCUCGUCUUCCCUGUUUCUUUUUCCUCCAAGAAGAGAAAUAUCAUCAGAAGAGCUGCACUGCUUUGUCGGGAACCAUCUACCCGGCUUACACGGUGUUUCUUGAACUUGUUGAGAAGCAAGGCUUACUCAUCUUCGAGACUUCGCAUGGUGAGGUUUCCUUAGGAGAAAGAACUCAUGAGUGAGCACGUACGCCAGCAAAGGUUUGAUUUGGGGAAGUUUAACAAUAAUCCUCAUAAACCCACAAGUGAAGGUCAAUGCUGAUUAAUUAACAGACAAGGCAUUCCCUUUCCAUACCGAGCUUCUCAGGGAGACCCUGGGAAGGGUUUCCUGCCUGGAAUUUCACAAAGAAAGAGAAAUUUCUUCAUAAAGGAAACAGGAACUGACUGCUCUUGAGAGCAGAAGAAAAACUCAACUGCCCUCAUCCAGUAAGAGACUGUCAAAUGGCGGCCAGGAGACCCAUGGCAGCAGUCAGAGCUGGAAGGCAGGGCUCAUAAUUUUUGGCUCUCCAGUUUGGAUGAUGACAUGUUACUGGGUAGCAAUACAUCUGAAGAAAUUAAAAAUAACAAUAACCAUGACAAGGCAGGAUGAUACAGACAUUUCAAAAGCAAUUGAUUCCUCUGUAAUAAAAACAUAGUCA
ensembl:lncRNA